CUAUUUUUUGGUAUACCUUUUUUAUAUGUGAGCUACCCAUUAUCAAUAAAAUUAUAUUUACUCGAUUAAGAAUAUCAAUAUAUAUUUGUUAUUUUAUUCGCUUCAAUGUCUCUUCCCUAUUUGAAAGGAAAACUUAGAAUGCUACUGUGCUAAUGAAUCGGUCAAUUGAGACUUACUUCAAUUUAAUCAUUAAACAUCGAAGUGGUAGUAGUAGGUCUUGUGAGUGUGGGGCACAUAUUUUUAUAUUGCUCAUGUUUUUCUUCUUUAUGCUCUGUUGAAACCAUUUGAAUUACAUUUUCUUGAAAAAAAGCUGAACGACAAACAAGGACAAGAUCCUAAUGGUUAACUUACAUGGUAUCAUGUAGGUUGUCGACGAAACGGAUAGGUUAUUAAGGGAAGCUUAUCAGUCUUGGCUUCCUACUGUCAUUCAGUUGACUAGCUCUUCUGUUGACGGGAACUUCCCUUCUGCUGAUGAUCUUCUUCCUUUCACUUAUGGUUCAUUGAAGACAAUCAGAAGAGUGGGCACAGAAAGAGGGUUCAAAGGAAAAGCCUAUCCAAGGCUUGCAAAGAUGGUUUUAUCAGCCACACUAACACAAGACCCAAGUAAACUUGCUCAACUUGAUUUGCAUCAUCCUCUUCUUCUAACGACUGGAGAAAGACGUUACAGGCUUCCUGAAGAACUCAAAUCAUUUAAAGUGCUAUGUCAAUUGAAGCUUAAGCCAAUUUAUCUUGUUUCCCUUCUUCAAAAUCUGCAAGGGGAGAAAUCAUUUUUUUCACAUCAUCUGUAGAGUCCACCAUAGACUAUGCACCUUGCUAAAGUUUUUCGACAAUUUGCAAAUUGAGUUCAAGGAGUAUUCUCGUCUUCAACGUCAAUCUGUAAGAAGGUGAUGUUACGUUUAUUUGGGAAACAUUUGGUGGUGCGGAAACACCUGUGCGUGUGAUUGCUUGCAUAGUUAAGUCUGCUGUCUUGCAAUUUAAUAGCCCAAACGUUUGUCCUGCCGCAAGACGUUGAGGGCUUUCCGGUCAGGGCAAGUGCAAGUGCUUAUUUCCUCUGAUGCUAUGACUCGUGGAAUGGAUGUUGAAGGAGUGAGAAAUGUCAUAAACUAUGAUAUGCCUGCAUAUAUAAAAACAUAUAUUCAUCGGGCAGGUCGAACUGCAAGAGCGGGACUAAGUGGAUGUUGCUUUACCUUAAUGCAUAAAGAUGAGGUAUGUCUUUAUAAAUGAUUAGGAGUAAAGGUUUUAAUCACCUGAUGUAAACCUAAGUCAAACUUUAAAUUUCUAUUUCAUAAUAAUAUUUAAGUUCUGGCCCCUAAGGAAGCUAAAAUUUUGUAAAUUACCUGAUGUAGUAAAUCUGACAGUAGCAUACAACAACAACAAACCCAGUGUAUUC